CGACCCCAGGAUGGGUGGGAUGACCCGCCGAGUUUAAG
rnacentral:rRNA from 6 species